GAUGAACGCUGGCGGCGUGCCUAAUACAUGCAAGUCGAGCGAACGGACGAGAAGCUUGCUUCUCUAAUGUUAGCGGCGGACGGGUGAGUAACACGUGGAUAACCUACCUAUAAGACUGGGAUAACUUCGGGAAACCGUAGCUAAUACUGGAUAAUAUUUUGAACCGCAUGGUUCAAAAGUGAAAGACGGUCUUGCUGUCACUUAUAGAUGGAUCCGCGCUGCAUUAGCUAGUUGGUAAGGUAACGGCUUACCAAGGCAACGAUGCAUAGCCGACCUGAGAGGGUGAUCGGCCACACUGGAACUGAGACACGGUCCAGACUCCUACGGGAGGCAGCAGUAGGGAAUCUUCCGCAAUGGGCGAAAGCCUGACGGAGCAACGCCGCGUGAGUGAUGAAGGUCUUCGGAUCGUAAAACUCUGUUAUUAGGGAAGAACAUAUGUGUAAGUAACUGUGCACAUCUUGACGGUACCUAAUCAGAAAGCCACGGCUAACUACGUG
rnacentral:rRNA from 1 species